rnacentral:lncRNA from 1 species
AAAUUCUUGACAUUGGUCAUAACCAGCUGAUGAGUGAAACUGGCUCUGGAUUUUUUGCUACAGAGUACACUAAAUUUCGAUUGACAUUUUUAGAUUCGCACUAUAGAUUAACAAAUUACUGGAAAAUCAUGAAGCCAUUGCAAAAAAGUUGUACAGUUUCAACUAGAAGAAAACAUCUAAUAUUUUGACAGUAGAUAAUAUAUGAGCAGAC